rnacentral:rRNA from 1 species
AGUGAACGCUGGCGGCAGGCCUAACACAUGCAAGUCGAACGCCCCGCAAGGGGAGUGGCAGACGGGUGAGUAACGCGUGGGAAUAUUCCCUUUGGUUCAGGAUAGCCCCGGGAAACUGGGAUUAAUACUGGAUAAGAUCUACGGAUGAAAGAUUUAUCGCCGAAGGAUUAGCCCGCGUAAGAUUAGUUAGUUGGUGAGGUAACGGCUCACCAAGACAAUGAUCUUUAGCUGGUCUGAGAGGAUGAUCAGCCACACUGGAACUGAGACACGGUCCAGACUCCUACGGGAGGCAGCAGUGAGGAAUAUUGGACAAUGGGCGCAAGCCUGAUCCAGCCAUGCCGCGUGAGUGAUGAAGGCCCUAGGGUUGUAAAACUCUUUUAGUGGGGAAAAUAAUGAUGGUACCCACAGAAAAAGCUCCGGCUAACUUCGUGCCAGCAGCCGCCGUAA